CAGCUCCAGCCUGCUGUCCUUUUUCUCCUCCACCACAUCCAUCUUCACGCAUCUGAAUUUUUGCCUACUUUGUUCCCACCAAUUGGAAGGCUUUCUCUCAUUAACUCCCUCCCAUUCCAAACAAGAGCUGGUAAAUUUCAACUCACCAUUCAAGACUUUACUGAGGAGUCUGCUCCUUUGGACUCCGUGCAUGCCUCCCUUAUAGUUCUUAUCACACUUUCUAUCAUUUUCUGUGUUUGAUUUGUGUCAUCUGUUGAACUGUGGGAUUCUUGAGAGGCAGAUUCAGUGUUCUGUUCAUCAUUGGCACAAUGCCUGUCAUGCAGUAAAUACUCAGUAAAUAAUUGCUUAUAUUAAAAUGACCUUAAAAAAACAGGUAUCUCAUUUGGUAACUUUUAAAAAGGAUCAUUCAUUGUACAAAUAACCUGUUAACUAUAAAUUAAACCAAUGAUCUAAUCAAGAAAGCUGUUGGCUGGCGUUGUAGCAGGUCAUAUAUAUGACUGAAAUAAAACCCAAAAAAGCACCCCUGGAGCAGAUCACCAGGGAGCUAACAGCCACACGGCAGGUGAGUGGGACAGUCUCUGUAGCCUCGUUUCCAGCAGAGGUCACAGUGAAUCCACCUUUCCUUGAGUUUUAAUCAGAGCUACUCUUCACUGUUUACCUCAUCAAUAAAAAUACACAAGCAGCAGCUACAAACAGAAGAAGAUUUUCUAUUUUCUUCACUACAUUUUGAUAAUUCUCAAGACAAUUACAGGGAAGAACAAACCCACGCAAGAACACAACUCAAUCAAGCCAAAAAAAAUAACUGUGGAAUGAGAUGGACAAAAAGGACAAAGUUCAAUGGAAGAAUAUUCUCUGUAGGUGCAGACUAUUUAAAUGUACAGUAACUUGCAUGACUACCACUAUGAUAAUUGCUUCUUGCUGAAGACUGGAGUUAACACAAAAGAAAUGAAUAUGUUCUAUUUCCAUUCUGUGAUCACUGCCGAAUUAGUACAAAAAUAGUGACAAACUUUCAUAGUAUAUAAAUCAAGAGAAAUGAAAAGCAUUUCUAAUUUUUAAUACCAGCAAAGUCAAAAAGCCACAAGAAAAAAAUUCAGCAGCAAUCUCCUUAUUGCCGAGAUUCACAAAAAAAUUGCAUGCAGAAAAGAACCUUC
rnacentral:lncRNA from 1 species